rnacentral:ncRNA from 1 species
GAGACCUCAUCUUCGAUCGUUCGCCAUCCGGGGCGUCGAUCAGUGUUUUUUAACACGAGCGAGCGUCCGCUCGGGUGAGGAGAAAGU